rnacentral:rRNA from 1 species
UAAGGAAUAUUGGUCAAUGGAGGAAACUCUGAACCAGCCAUCCCGCGUGAAGGAUGAAGGGGCUCUGCCUUGUAAACUUCUUUUGAAUGGGACGAAAACAGGGGAUUUAUCCUCGACUGACGGUACCAUUAGAAUAAGCACCGGCUAACUCCGUGCCAGCAGCCGCGGUAAUACGGAGGGUGCAAGCGUUAUCCGGAAUCACUGGGUUUAAAGGGUGCGUAGGCGGCUAAAUAAGUCAGUGGUGAAAU